rnacentral:rRNA from 1 species
AGUGCUCGAAAGAGAGCCGUAACACAGGUGCUGCAUGGCUGUCGUCAGCUCGUGUCGUGAGAUGUUGGGUUAAGUCCCGCAACGAGCGCAACCCUUGCCAUUAGUUGCUACGAAAGGGCACUCUAAUGGGACUGCCGGUGACAAACCGGAGGAAGGUGGGGAUGACGUCAAGUCCUCAUGGCCCUUAUAGGUGGGGCUACACACGUCAUACAAUGGCUGGUACAGAGGGUUGCCAACCCGCGAGGGGGAGCCAAUCCCAUAAAGCCAGUCGUAGUCCGGAUCGCAGUCUGCAACUCGACUGCGUGAAGUCGGAAUCGCUAGUAAUCGCGGAUCAGAAUGUCGCGGUGAAUACGUUCCCGGGUCUUGUACACACCGCCCGUCACACC